ensembl:lncRNA
AUGGCGGGAGAGACAGAACACAGCCUGUUAGGAGGGAGAUGGAGGGAGACAGAGAGAGAGAGGCAGAACACAGCCUGUUUGGAGGGAGACGGAGAAAGAGAGGCAGAACACAUCAUGGGACGGAGGGAGGGAGAAAGAGAGGCAGAACACAUCAUGGGACGGAGGGAGGGAGAAAUAGAGGCAGAACACAUCAUGGGAUGGAGGGAGGGAGAAAGAGAGGCAGAACACAGCCUGGGACAGAGGGAGGGAGAAAGAGAGGCAGAACACAUCAUGGGAUGGAGGGAAGGAGGGAGAAAGAGAGGCAGAACACAGCCUGGGAUGGAGGGAAGGAGGGAGAAAGAGAGGCAGAACACAUCAUGGGACGGAGGGAGGGAGAAAGAGAGGCAGAACACAUCAUGGGACAGAGGGAGGGAGAAAGAGAGGCAGAACACAGCCUGGGAUGGAGGGAGGGAGAAAGAGAGGCAGAACACAGCCUGGGACGGAGGGAGGGAGGGAGAAAUAGAGGCAGAACACAGCCUGGGACGGAGGGAGGGAGAAAGAGAGGCAGAACACAGCCUGGGAUGGAGGGAGGGAGAAAGAGAGGCAGAACACAGCCUGGGAUGGAGGGAGGGAGAAAGAGAGGCAGAACACAUCAUGGGACGGAGGGAGGGAGAAAGAGAGGCAGAACACAGCCUGGGAUGGAGGGAAGGAGGGAGAAAGAGAGGCAGAACACAUCAUGGGAUGGAGGGAGGGAGAAAGAGAGACAGAACACAGCCUGGACGGAGGGAGGGAGAAAGAGAGGCAGAACACAGCCUGGGAUGGAGGGAGGAAGAAAGAGAGGCAGAACACAGCCUGGGAUGGAGGGAGGGAGAAAGAGAGGCAGAACACAGCCUGGGAUGGAGGGAGGGAGAAAGAGAGGCAGAACACAUCAUGGGACGGAGGGAGGGAGAAAGAGAGGCAGAACACAGCCUGGGAUGGAGGGAAGGAGGGAGAAAGAGAGGCAGAACACAGCCGGGGAUGGAGGGAGGGAGAAAGAGAGGCAGAACACAGCCUGGGAUGGAGGGAGGGAGAAAGAGAGGCAGAACACAUCAUGGGAUAGAGGGAGGGAGAAAGAGAGACAGAACACAGCCUGGGACGGAGGGAGGGAGAAAGAGAGGCAGAACACAGCCUGGGAUGGAGGGAGGAAGAAAGAGAGGCAGAACACAGCCUGGGAUGGAGGGAGGGAGAAAGAGAGGCAGAACACAGCCUGGGAUUGAGGGAGGGAGAAAGAGAGGCAGAACACAUCAUGGGACGGAGGGAGGGAGAAAGAGAGGCAGAACACAGCCUGGGACGGAGGGAGGGAGAAAGAGAGGCAGAACACAUCAUGGGACGGAGGGAGGGAGAAAGAGAGGCAGAACACAGCCUGGGACAGAGGGAGGGAGAAAGAGAGGCAGAACACAGCCUGGGAUGGAGGGAGGGAGAAAGAGAGGCAGAACACAGCCUGGGAUGGAGGGAGGGAGAAAGAGAGGCAGAACACAUCAUGGGACGGAGGGAGGGAGAAAGAGAGGAAAACACAGCCUGGGAUGGAGGGAAGGAGAAAGAGAGGCAGAACACAGCUUGGGACGGAGGGAGGGAGAAAGAGAGGCAGAACACAGCCUGGGACGGAGGGAGGGAGAAAGAGAGGCAGAACACAUCAUGGGACAGAGGGAGGGAGAAAGAGAGCCAGAACACAGCCUGGGAUGGAGGGAGGGAGAAAGAGAGGCAGAACACAUCAUGGGACAGAGGGAGGGAGAAAGAGAGGCAGAACACAGCCUGGGAUGGAGGGAGGGAGAAAGAGAGGCAGAACACAGCCUGGGAUGGAGGGAGGGAGAAAGAGAGGCAGAACACAGCCUGGGACGGAGGGAGGGAGAAAGAGAGGCAGAACACAGCCUGGGACGGAGGGAGGGAGAAAGAGAGGCAGAACACAUCAUGGGAUGGAGGGAGGGAGAAAUAGAGGCAGAACACAGCCUGGGAUGGAGGGAGGGAGAAAGAACGGCAAAACACAGCCUGGGAUGGAGGGAGGGAGAAAGAGAGGCAGAACACAGCCUGGGAUGGAGGGAAGGAGGGAGAAAGAGAGGCAGAACACAGCCUGGGAUGGAGGGAGGGAGAAAGAGAGGCAGAACACAGCCUGGGAUGGAGGGAGGGAGAAAGAGAGGCAGAGAGUAA